rnacentral:rRNA from 1 species
AGUGAACGCUGGCGGUAGGCCUAACACAUGCAAGUCGAACGGCAGCACAGUAAGAGCUUGCUCUUACGGGUGGCGAGUGGCGGACGGGUGAGGAAUACAUCGGAAUCUACUUUUUCGUGGGGGAUAACGUAGGGAAACUUACGCUAAUACCGCAUACUACCUACGGGUGAAAGCAGGGGAUCUUCGGACCUUGCGCGAUUGUAUGAGCCGAUGUCGGAUUAGCUAGUUGGCGGGGUAAAGGCCCACCAAGGCGACGAUCCGUAGCUGGUCUGAGAGGAUGAUCAGCCACACUGGAACUGAGACACGGUCCAGACUCCUACGGGAGGCAGCAGUGGGGAAUAUUGGACAAUGGGCGCAAGCCUGAUCCAGCCAUACCGCGUGGGUGAAGAAGGCCUUCGGGUUGUAAAGCCCUUUUGUUGGGAAAGAAAAGAAGCAGGUUAAUACCCCGCUGUUCUGACGGUACCCAAAGAAUAAGCACCGGCUAACUUCGUG